AUUUCUGAUAUAGAUGCUGUUAGUGAGGAACAAUAUAAAAAAAGCAAACAUGAUCGAGCUAAAGUAAAUAAGGAUACAGAUAGCGAAUCUUCUGAUGACUCCACAAAAAAGAAAAAAGAGAAAUCAAAAACUUUGCCAAUAUUUCCAAAGGUCCCCAAUUUGAUUUCUUCACCAAAACCUUCAACAUGUAAACCAGCUAUAACAAGUGUUUCUAUCAUACAUGAACCGAGACAACCAGAUUAUUACGAGAGCUUUGUUGAAAAGGAAUAUUUAUUCGCUGCGAAAAAUAUUAAACAGGAAAAAAUUAAAAACAAAGCAACGACAUCCAUUACAAGAACUCCAUCUACAUUAGUAGCACAAUCAAAAAUGAAUGUAUUAUCAAAUAUCACAAAUGUAGAGCACAUACAUAAAAACAUAUUAUCAGAUAAUUUGGAGGAAGAUACAGGCUUAGAGAAUUCCUCAAUUUCGACAAUAAAUAACACUCAAGCAUCAACGCUUUCAUUAUUGGAUUGUAAUAAAGAAAUGGAUUCAUUGUAUAAAAUG